GACGAACGCUGGCGGCGUGCCUAAUACAUGCAAGUCGAACGCUGAAGGAGGAGCUUGCUCUUCUGGAUGAGUUGCGAACGGGUGAGUAACGCGUAGGUAACCUGCCUGGUAGCGGGGGAUAACUAUUGGAAACGAUAGCUAAUACCGCAUAAGAGUAGAUGUUGCAUGACAUUUGCUUAAAAGGUGCAAUUGCAUCACUACCAGAUGGACCUGCGUUGUAUUAGCUAGUUGGUGGGGUAACGGCUCACCAAGGCGACGAUACAUAGCCGACCUGGGAGGGUGGUCGGCCACACUGGGACGGAGACACGGCCCAGAGGCCUACGGGAGGCAGCAGUAGGGAAUCGGCGGCAAUGGACGGAAGACUGAGCGAGCAACGCCGAGGGAGGGAAGAAGGUUUUCGGAUCGUAAAGCUCGGUUGUAAGAGAAGAACGAGUGUGAGAGUGGAAAGUUCACACUGUGACGGUAACUGACCAGAAAGGGACGGCUAACUACGUG
rnacentral:rRNA from 1 species